rnacentral:other from 1 species
CCCUAGCUUAUUCGCCAGACUUUCAGUCCUCGAGCCGAUAUAGUGUAACCGGGGAUUUCUCGUUACUGUUGGUGUGCAUGUCCGGUUUUGGCCGGAAAGCCUUUUUCAGUGCAGGAGUCACCACCUUGAACCAUCGGGUUCAAGGGCAGUUCUGUCAGCGGUAAGCCGGGAAU